AAAAAAUCUCAUGACAUCACAACAAAUUCACCUAUUCACGGCAGAGCCCUGCAUACUCUCAGUUCGGCCCCUGUGCCUUCACCGCACUUUGUGUGGAAGCUCAUGGCCACCGCUUUCAGCACCUCUUGUGACUCUCGAGGCCGAAGUUAACCUGUAUGGAUUGCGUGACAUCUCAAGAUAUUAAAAUAUUGAUUGAAGUUUUUU